AUGUGACUUGUGGGCUUCCCUUUGUCAUCCUUUGCCUAGGGCUCUGAGUGGGGCAGGGACAGCAAAGGGGUGCUCAGUCGUCACCUCU
rnacentral:pre_miRNA from 1 species